GAGACUCAUUCCUUACCUCAUGUGUCUUAUUCCAUACCUGUAGAGACUCACUCCUUACCUGUAGAGACUCACUCCUUACCUGUGGACACUCACUCCUUACCUGUGGACACUCACUCCUUUCCUGUAGAUACUCACUCCUUACCUGUGGACACUCACUCCUUACCUGUGGACACUCACUCCUUUCCUGUAGAUACUCACUCCUUACCUAAUGUGCCACAAUUGAGGGAUGUCUGUGACGGUAGGAGAGUGCAUAUGUACGACAUGCCGAAGGAGUUCAAUACCAAAUUGC
rnacentral:lncRNA from 1 species